rnacentral:lncRNA from 1 species
UAUCGUGCACUAUUCAAGUAAUGUCUUAUCAUUGGUUCCCGAUGAUAACUUGGGAGUUUCAUACUACCAUCUAGUC